CGCCUGCCGUCAUACCCAGCGUCGCAAUCUUGUCCGGAUCGAGCCACAAGCGCAUCGAAUAAUCGCGCGCUCCGAAAAUCUGGAUGUCGCCGAUGCCGUCGAGCCGCAGCAACUGGUCGCGCACCUGCCGCAAAGCAUAGUUGGAAAUAUAGAGCUGGUCGUAAGUGUCAUCGGGCGACAGCAUGAACACGACCAUCAUGAGGUCGGGGCUAUUCUUGCGAGUGACGACACCGUUGCGCUGAACUUCCU
rnacentral:misc_RNA from 1 species